AUUUGAAGAAAAAAUGACCAAAAUUGGUGAAAUCAUAAAUUUAUAGAUUUAAUAAGCAUAAAACACACAGGCAAGAUAUAGUAAAAAAUGACUAUGCCUCUAACUAAAGUUCAGAUAAGUUAAUGAGUGACAGACUAGUUGAGAAAAUAUUCCCAACUUAUUCCAACUUAAGAACAGUUAGAAGUAGUUUACUUUUGAAAAAAAUCUCCUUUCUGCACUGCUCUAGCAGAGGUUCUCCAUGAGGGUCAUGCCCCUGCAGCAAACUUCUGCCAGGGCAUCCAGGCAUUUCCAUACAUUUUCUGAAAUCUAGGUAAAGGUUCCCAAACCUUAAUUCUUGACUUCUGUGUACCUGCAGGCUUAAAAAUGUAGAAGCUGCCAAGGUUUGGGGCUUCUGCCCUCUGGAGCAACAGCUAGAGCUGUACCUUGGCCCCUUUUAGUCACGGCUGGAGUGGCUGGGAUGCAGGGCACCAAGUCCCUAGACUGCACACAAUAGAGGGACCCUGAGCCCAGCCCACAAAACCACUUUUUCCUCCUAAACCCCUGGGCCUAUAAUGGGAGGGUCUGCCACAAAGGUAUCUGGCAUGCAUUGGAGACAUUUUCUCAAUUGCUUUGGGGA
rnacentral:lncRNA from 1 species